rnacentral:rRNA from 1 species
UACAGAGGUCCCAAGCGUUGUCCGGAAUUAUUGGGCGUAAAGGGCGCGUAGGCGGUGCGGUAAGUCACCUGUGAAAUCUCCUGGCUCAACUGGGAGCUUGCAGGCGAAACUGCCGUGCUGGAGUGUGGGAGAGGUGCGUGGAAUUCCCAGUGUAGAGGUGAAAUUCGUAGAUAUUGGGAAGAACACCGGUGGCGAAGGCGGCUCUCUGGACCGAGACUGACGCUGAGGCGCGAAAGCGUGGGGAGCAAACAGG